rnacentral:lncRNA from 1 species
CCGAUGAAUUUAUCAAUUAAUUGAUAUUACAUGUCUAUGUUGUUGCGUAUUUUAAGAGAUCUUGUUACAGUUCAUUACGAAAAUAAAGAUGUAGAACUUUUAAGAGAACAAUUACACUCAAUUCUUAAGCAGUACCAUGAAGUGUUCUUCCAACAAGGGUGAUGCUACGUGGACAAAGAAGGUUGACAAUGGAGGUUCACAUAACAUGAGUUGACAAGAUCUAUAUCAUUCAUUUCAAAACCAGAUUUUGAAAUCAAAAAACAUAAACGGCCUAGAUCUUGCCAACACCUAUUUUGUCAACAAACUUUGUCUACCUACUUUGUACAAUUACAUUAAUUGUUAAAAUUACAACUAAUCAUGAUGGCAUGUUUGGAUGCUAGAAAGUGACCUCAAAAAGUGUGAUUGAAUCGACUGCUGGUAUGGUUGCACCCGUUAUUUUCAUCCACAUAAACCCUUAAUUCAAAUUAUCUAAGUCACAAUGGCUAAUGAAAGUCAGGAUUUGAUUCACAGUUUCAAAUUAAUCCACCAGCUAAACACCACAAGCAAUGCAUUGUAAAAAUGUGUAUCCAUUACUACUAUACUAAAACUUUAACUUUUUCAAAUUGUCCAAUAG